rnacentral:rRNA from 1 species
AGGAUAAACGCUGGCGGCGUGCCUAACACAUGCAAGUCGAACGCGCUUUCGGGCUUCGGUGCGAGAGCGAGUGGCGGACGGGUGAGUAACACAUGGGUACCUACCUUGGAGUGAGGGAUACCGGCGAGAAAUCGCCGACAAUACCGCAUAGGCUUCUUCACAAGGGAAGCAAAGUGACGCGAGUCACGCUUUGAGAUGGGCCUGUGGCCGAUUAGCUAGUUGGGGGGGUAACGGCUUCCCAAGGCGACGAUCGGUAGCUGGUCUGAGAGGACGAUCAGCCACACUGGGAUUGAGAACGGCCCAGACUCCUACGGGGGGCAGCAGUGAGGAAUUUUCCGCAAUGGAGGCAACUCUGACGGAGCAACGCCGCGUGCAGGAGGAAGGUUUUCGGAUCGUAAACUGCUUUUCUCGGGGACGAGCAAGGGACGGUACCCGAGGAAGAAGCCCCGGCUAACUACGCGCCAGCAGCCGC